rnacentral:rRNA from 1 species
UACGUAGGGGGCAAGCGUUGUCCGGAUUUAUUGGGCGUAAAGAGCGUGUAGGCGGUUUGGUAGGUCCGCUGUGAAAGCUCGAGGCUCAACCUCGAGACGCCGGUGGAAACCAUCAGACUAGAGUCCGGAAGAGGAGAGUGGAAUUCCUGGUGUAGCGGUGAAAUGCGCAGAUAUCGGGAAGAACACCCGUGGCGAAGGCGGCUCUCUGGAACGCAACUGACGCUGAGACGCGAAAGCGUGGGGAGCAAACAGG